rnacentral:rRNA from 1 species
GCUGGCGGCGGGUUUAACACAUGCAAGUCGAGGGACGAAGUUUGGUGCUUGCACCGAACGGAAACCGGCGAACGGGUGAGUAACACGUGAGAAACCAACCCUUCACUUUGGGAUAACCCAAGGAAACUUGGGCUAAUACCGGAUACCCCGGUCGGAUCGCAUGAUCCAACCGGGAAAGCUCCGGCGGUGAUGGACGGUCUCGCGGCCUAUCAGCUAGUUGGUGAGGUAACGGCUCACCAAGGCGACGACGGGUAGCUGGAGUGAGAGCUUGAACAGCCACACUAGGACUGAGACACGGCCCAGACUCCUACGGGAGGCAGCAGUGGAGAAUCUUGCACAAUGGGCGAAAGCCUGAUGCAGCCACGCCGCGUGAGGGACGAAUGUCUUCGGAUUGUAAACCUCUUUCAGUCGUGAAGAAGCGCAAGUGACGGUAACGACAGAAGAAGCCCCGGCUAACUACGUGCCAGCAGCCGCAGUAAUACGUAGGGGGCGAGCGUUGUCCGGAAUUAUUGGGCGUAAAGGGCGCGUAGGCGGUCCACUAAGUCGGAUGUGAAAUCCAGGGGCUCAACCCCUGAACUGCACCCGAUACUGGUGGACUUGAGGUAGGUAGAGGA